UUUUGUCCAGAGGUCCUGAGUUGGAUAUGUGAAGUGAGAUGCUCGUGAACACUGCAGAUAAAUUGAUGCACACACAGUCACAGCAGUUGAUUCUGACUUAGGAACAUUUCACUCUCCUUUCCUUUGCUCAUUUUGGUGGUGAAGAUCUCGUCCAGAAGUAAUAUACGUCAAGAAAGAAGAGAUUAUAAAUGUCUAGCAGGGACUGUUAGAAAUAUAUUUGGUGCCCUUGAUGAUUUCUCAAUCAAGACAGGGAACACUGAGGUACAACCACAUAGAGCAUCGGAGCUGCUACGGUAAAGGGGAAGGAGAGAUUCCUACUCUGGUUGAUGACACUGGAUCCUUGCAAGCUGGACAUCUCGGAACAACAGACACAGCUGUUCAACCUCAGAGCUUCUAGACUUCCCAUGUUCCAAGUCCACUUCUGCCGGCAGAAUAGAAACCUCGUCAGUUAUCACAACUCAGGGAGGACAAAUGGAUUCCUGAGGUGCAGGGCAAUCAACAGAUGAGAUCCAAGAGUCAGAACCCUGGAAUGGACCACCAGAACUUUCCCAUGGAGCCCCAGGACUUCUUCCCCCAAUUCCUGCUGUUUCUCCUCCUCCCUGUAGCAGGCUUCUUAAAGCAGGUAGUUUGACCUGCUGAGCAUCACAUUGCAUAAAACAAUGCCGGAAGACUUGAGCAAUGGUGACUUACCAAGACAGCUGGCUGCCUAUGUUUAUGGCAUUUGGAAUCCACCGGGAACACAUACAUUUGUCACAGUGUGUUCCCGAAAUAAAUGAGGCUGUCUCCCAACUGGCCCCAUAUAAUCAACGCAGCCCAGCCCCACAUAGCUACUCCAAUGAAUAAUGCUUUGUUUGCCAAAUGCAAUGGGAACCUACCACAGGCCAGGGUGCUUCCAACAACAACAACAACAAGAAACUAAAGACAGUAAGGGAGAAAGAGUGGGUAUAAGCACUUAUCAAUACAUCAGACUGGAAACUCCUAGAAUGGAAUUAUUAGAUGCAUGUAUUAUUUGGGAGCAUUAUGACCAGGAAUAUUAAUAAAACUGUGAAUAGUAUGUAUUCUUUUCAUAAUUUUGACUUAGGGAAGAGGGCAAAAAAAUAACUGUAGCUAGUUUUAGACAUCCAUAAACAAAAUUCUGUAUUACUUUCAGGUAAGACAAGAGCAAUGACAACACAGCACCACAAGCCUUGCCUGGGGUAGAGAGAUAUUAUACAAGGGAAACUGUUUAUUUGUUAGAGAAUCAUACUCAUAAUUCCCUUAAGAGUCUCUUAAUUAAUUCCCCUAAUUAGAACUUUAAUGGGUCUCCCUUUUCAUUUUCUAACAUCUUACACUGGCUACAUCAUUGAAAUAGAAUGAAAAGAAUAAACCUCUCUGCUAUUUUUUUUUAAGGUUGGC
rnacentral:lncRNA from 1 species